AACGAACGCUGGCGGCAGGCCUAACACAUGCAAGUCGAACGCUGUAGCAAUACAGAGUGGCAGACGGGUGAGUAACGCGUGGGAACCUUCCCAGUGGUGCGGAAUAGCUCAGGGAAACUUGAGGUAAUACCGCAUAAGCCCCUAGGGGGAAAGAUUUAUCGCCAUUGGAUGGGCCCGCGUCGGAUUAGCUAGUUGGUGAGGUAAUGGCUCACCAAGGCAACGAUCCGUAGCUGGUUUGAGAGAAUGACCAGCCACACUGGGACUGAGACACGGCCCAGACUCCUACGGGAGGCAGCAGUGGGGAAUAUUGGACAAUGGGCGCAAGCCUGAUCCAGCCAUGCCGCGUGAGUGAUGAAGGCCUUAGGGUUGUAAAGCUCUUUCGGGUGGGACGAUGAUGACGGUACCACCAGAAGAAGCCCCGGCUAACUUCGUGCCAGCAGCCGCGGUAACAC
rnacentral:rRNA from 1 species